AUGAAAUUUACAAAGCCGGCAGCCAAUAGAUCUCCGCACUGGGCUCAUCAGCACAGAAAUCAUAUCCACAGCUACAACCUAGGCAAAGAGCAGCUAAUCCGAGUGCAAACCAACUAUGACUCGGAGCUCCUGCUGCCCGGGUAGGAGGACAGGGCACACACUGGCCACUGUGCCAGAAGUCCCCCUGGGCCACUGGGAUCUUCUGAUAGAUACUGGGGCAUCAAACAGGCUAUGGGAGUGGCCCACAUCUUUACAUCUUUAACCCUUUGAGGUCCUCCUCCCCAGGAGUCCGGGGGUCAGAGGGUCACCAUUGCUCCACGUUUUGUGUUAGUAGAAUUAAAUUAUAUUUUGCAAAAAUAUUGUUUUUAAGGGCAGCAUCAUUAGGGUGCAGUUCUCUUAGACUCGGGACAUAUCUUGUGCCCCAGUGAGGAAUCGUAAAUGUGGAUUGCUUUUGUUUCUCUCUCUGAUACACUCACGAUUUGGAUGGAAAUACUGGAGCCGUGGCUGCCGUUCCUGGCCACCAUGACAUGAGCAGCUUCCAGUUAUGUUUCUGUCUCACCACAGGCCCAAAGGGCAUGGUGCUGUGAAACCAUGGACUGAACCCUCCUAAGCCAACUGAAUCUGAGAAUUGUUGCUGAUUCCAAGUGCUCUGCAAAAUAUCAAGGUUGGAUAAAAAAACACAGUUUUUGGCCUCAAAUAUCUAAUUGUGAGACUCUUUACUCGUGGCUCUUAUCAGAACUGUUCUGUUUUCUUUUUACUUACCUGUGAGUUUAUUUAUGGUGUUUCUUGCUUUCAUUUACAAUUGUCCACACAGCCUUGGGUAAAAGAAAAACAUAUCUGUCCAGCAUGUUGAUGAUAAAAUGCCCUGGAUGGUCAUACUUAUGUAAGACUUGAAUUUCAGAAGAUGAAGUUUAAUACAUUUGAGAGGGGAUAGGGUAUGGAAUGACCCUUAAAUUAUGUCUAUAUCUGUAUACAAUGCAUGGUAGAUAUAGCUGAUGUAACUAGAGUACAUAGCAUGUUCAAUUUAUGAGGAAAUAUUUGAGUAGUGUUAUUCCCCAUUCUAAUAACUAGAUUAAAAUAUAUAAUUAUCAAUAACAUGGGUUGAAUAAGACAAAUCUACUGAAGAGUCUGGAAAUAUUUGUUCUCUUCUGGCCUAGCAAAUUCCAUUCCAUCUUACUUGAGACUCCACAGUUGCUAAAUAUACUUUUUUCUUUCAGUGAUACAAAGUAAACUCCGAACCACCUGGUGUUGAAUUAUCAUGAAUUUCAAAUUAACGCCAAUCAAUUCAGUGAGGUUUUCUCUGACUAAUCUUUCCUCCGCCAUGCCUGUCUGCCAUGAUGUUUCUGCCUUGGAGCCAGCCAACCAUGGACUGAAGCCUCUGCAACCACAGUCACAACAAAACCUCUUCUCCUUUAAGCUGUGGAUGUCAGGACACGGAGGCAGCCAGAACAGUGCAAUUAAAGCCAUUCAGGAAAGAGGACUUCCAGAACUGCUUCAGAAAGUGGCAUGAACCAUAGGAUAAGUGUGUUCAAAGUGAGAGGUGGGAUAUUGAUGGAGAUUCAGGGCAAUGUGUCUUUCACUGCAAUAAUUCUUUUAAUUUAAAAGUUCACCAUAUGUUUGUACAUAUGAAAAGAUUUUCAGUCAAGCUUCUUUACCUAAAGUCUAGUGGUG
ensembl:lncRNA